rnacentral:rRNA from 1 species
AAGUCGAGGGGCAGCAUGAACUUAGCUUGCUAAGUUUGAUGGCGACCGGCGCACGGGUGAGUAACACGUAUCCAACCUGCCGAUGACUCGGGGAUAGCCUUUCGAAAGAAAGAUUAAUACCCGAUGGCAUAAUUCUUCCGCAUGGUAGAAUUAUUAAAGAAUUUCGGUCAUCGAUGGGGAUGCGUUCCAUUAGGUUGUUGGCGGGGUAACGGCCCACCAAGCCUUCGAUGGAUAGGGGUCCUGAGAGGAAGGUCCCCCACAUUGGAACUGAGACACGGUCCAAACUCCUACGGGAGGCAGCAGUGAGGAAUAUUGGUCAAUGGACGAGAGUCUGAACCAGCCAAGUAGCGUGAAGGAUGACUGCCCUAUGGGUUGUAAACUUCUUUUAUACGGGAAUAAAGUGAGGCACGUGUGCCUUUUUGUAUGUACCGUAUGAAUAAGGAUCGGCUAACUCCGUGCCAGCAGCCGCGGUAAAUAACGGAGGAUCCGAGCGUUAUCCGGAUUUAUUGGGUUUAAAGGGAGCGUAGGCGGACGCUUAAGUCAGUUGUGAAAGUUUGCGGCUCAACCGUAAAAUUGCAGUUGAUACUGGGUGUCUUGAGUACAGUAGAGGCAGGCGGAAUUCGUGGUGUAGCGGUGAAAUGCUUAGAUAUCACGAAGACUCCGAUUGCGAAGGCAGCCUGCUGGACU